GGUCUCGUGGUGUAGUGGUUAUCACAUAUGUCUUACACACAGAAGGUCGGGGGUUCGAUCCCGCCCGGGAUCA
rnacentral:tRNA from 1 species